GGAUGGUGGCGAACGACGGCGAACGACGGCACGCAGACUUGGAAAGCGUGUUGGGUUAACACCCUCACGAGUUCGAAUCUCGUAUCCUCCGCCA
rnacentral:tRNA from 1 species